GCCGUCCUAGCUCAAUAGCAGAGCAGCACUUUCGUAAAGUGCAGGUUGUCGGUGCAAAUCCGACGGACGGCU
rnacentral:tRNA from 2 species